rnacentral:rRNA from 1 species
CCUACGGGGGGCAGCAGUGGGGAAUAUUGCGCAAUGGGCGAAAGCCUGACGCAGCGACGCCGCGUGAGGGAUGAAGGUCUUCGGAUCGUAAACCUCUGUCAGCAGGGAAGAACGGUCACUGUGCUAAUCAGCAGUGAAUUGACGGUACCUGCAAAGGAAGCACCGGCUAACUCCGUGCCAGCAGCCGCGGUAAUACGGAGGGUGCGAGCGUUAAUCGGAAUUACUGGGCGUAAAGCGCUCGUAGGCGGUAUGUCAAGUCAAGGGUGAAAUCCCCGCGCUCAACGUGGGAACUGCCUUUGAAACUGGCAAACUGGAGUGUGUGAGAGGAUAGUGGAAUUCCAGGUGUAGGAGUGAAAUCCGUAGAUAUCUGGAGGAACAUCAGUGGCGAAGGCGACUAUCUGGAACAUAACUGACGCUGAGGAGCGAAAGCGUGGGUAGCAAACGGGAUUAGAUACCCCAGUAGUC